UGGGGAAUAUUGCGCAAUGGGGGAAACCCUGACGCAGCGACGCCGCGUGAAGGAUGAAGGUUUUCGGAUCGUAAACUUAUGUCUUCAGGGACGAGAUAGGACGGUACCUGAGGAGGAAGCCACGGCUAACUACGUGCCAGCAGCCGCGGUAAUACGUAGGUGGCAAGCGUUGUCCGGAUUUACUGGGUGUAAAGGGCGUGUAGGCGGGUUAGUAAGUUGGAUGUGAAAUACCGCGGCUCAACCGCGGGGCUGCAUCCAAAACUAUUAAUCUUGAGUGUCGGAGAGGAAAGCGGAAUUCCUAGUGUAGCGGUGAAAUGCGUAGAUAUUAGGAGGAACACCGGUGGCGAAGGCGGCUUUCUGGACGAUAACUGACGCUGAGGCGCGAAAGCGUGGGGAGCAAACAGG
rnacentral:rRNA from 2 species